UUUGAUUAUGAUGGAAACCUCCACAGGGCUAAAAGUUUACAAAAGGAUGAAAAGUUUUUUUGGGAGGAAUAGUGUAGGGGGUGGAGGCCUCCUUUUAUAGCACAAGGAAGAUCCCCUCCUUUUGUCUCCUAAUCGAUGUGGGAUGACUUUAACCUUAAUGGGAUGACUUUAACCUUAACAUUUUUCUAUGUCUUUUCCCAUCACAUGCUGCUUACGUUACUACCAAACUAUAAACGGAUCAACACCGGCU
rnacentral:lncRNA from 1 species